GGGAACAUUGCGGCAGGCCUACACAUGCAAGUCGAACGGUAACAGGAAGCAGCUUGCUUCUUCGCUGACGAGUGGCGGACGGGUGAGUAAUGUCUGGGAAACUGCCUGAUGGAGGGGGAUAACUACUGGAAACGGUAGCUAAUACCGCAUAACGUCGCAAGACCAAAGAGGGGGACCUUCGGGCCUCUUGCCAUCGGAUGUGCCCAGAUGGGAUUAGCUAGUAGGUGGGGUAACGGCUCACCUAGGCGACGAUCCCUAGCUGGUCUGAGAGGAUGACCAGCCACACUGGAACUGAGACACGGUCCAGACUCCUACGGGAGGCAGCAGUGGGGAAUAUUGCACAAUGGGCGCAAGCCUGAUGCAGCCAUGCCGCGUGUAUGAAGAAGGCCUUCGGGUUGUAAAGUACUUUCAGCGGGGAGGAAGGGAGUGAAGUUAAUACCUUUGCUCAUUGACGUUACCCGCACAAGAAGCACCGGCUUACUCCGUGCCGGCAGCCUAGUAAUACAGGCGGUGCAAGCGUUUACGGUUCUUACUGGGGGUGAGACACACAAAGCGGGCAUUACAGGCAGAGGUGCGGGCGCGGGGCUGAGCUGGGAAGCGCGUCGAGCAGGCAAGAAGACCACCUGUGGGUGGUGUCGUGCCGAAUCGCGGUGUAAGCAACGAGACGUAAGAACUUAAACGGAUAGAAAAGACCAUGGAGGAGAACUAGGAUUGUGGCGGCAGAUAGCCGUCCCUGAGAUCAACAGAUCUCGCGUCAAGGAUGGAGAGGUACCGGAGUGGCUGGACUGGCACGUAGAGAACACUGCCACUAGAGACAAGA
rnacentral:rRNA from 1 species